AGAGGGCACACAGCAAGUGCUUGCUGAACCCAGUGACCCUUCGAGGGCAUGGACUGUGUCUUAUUCACCUGGGCACCCAGGAUCUAGAGUGGUGGUUCCCAAUAAUGUUUGCAGGGGCCUGAGCAAUUGCAUCGUAGAGGAGGCAUGGAUGCCCCUUGUCUCUGCUGCCGUAUCUUGGUGAGGGAGUCGUGCUUCCUGCCAUGGAGGUUGCAGCUGAGGACAUCGUGCAGCCCAACUACUAACAGUGAUGAGGUCUGGAUUUUCCUGACUUUCUCUGCUUCUGUGCUAUGGAAUGGCCAGAAGUUCAGCUUGUGGAACACAGAAUGGUCUGCAAGCAAACUCUUUCCUCUCCUUGAAAUCUUGCUAUUCCUGUCCUUUGUUCUUAGAAGAAACUGAGCUCUAGAUAUGUCUCACUGUUGGCUUUGUCCACAGGGCCCCAAGCUCUUCCCUGCUGUCUAUUGCAUGCCUGCGGUAUGAGAGGCUUGGGAGAAGGUAUCUAAGACAGGAGCCACCCCACAGAAGCAACUAGUUCACCACAGGUGUGGAGGCUGAUUCCCCAUUGAGUCCUAUGGGAGUUAUCAAGCCCCAGGGUGGAGGCAGGGCUUGAGAUUUGCUGUCAAGAGUGCCGUGUUAAUCUGUGCUCAUGCUGCU
rnacentral:lncRNA from 10 species